CAAAAGUAGAUAACACCUGUUUAGUCUUCCAGGGCCAUUCGACAAGAGGAAUGACUACAUUUUAAUGAUGAGAACUUCCGACUGAGAGGUGGGCAAACCGACCUGACCUGUCUGGGUCAUCAACUGCUGACAUCUGGCACAUCUAUUUUCAAGAUCAAAGGUCAAAGAUUUCAAGAAGAGCAGAAGAACUCCAUCUCCCUGACACGUUCCUGAGCACCUUCCACAGGAUGAGGACAAGGAAUUGAACUCCAGGAUCCAUGAGAGGGUUGGCCAUGACAGCAGGGUCUCCUGAAUGAAGGGUUCAUGUUCAGAGGCAGUGUGGGAGAGCCUCGAUUCUGUUCUUCUAAGUUUCUUGAUUCUGUUCUUCUAAGAAUCUGUUCUUCUAAGUUUUGUAGAGUCUGUGAAUCCAAAAGUUGACUUCUAAAAUUCAGCUCUAGGAACCCACUGCAUCUUGGUUUUUUUAUCUAUAUACAUGAGAAACCCAACUUGGAUUAAACAUUUGGCCGGUGGCUUUCUCUCUCUCAAGUCCCCUCUCUCCUUGUUGUCUCUCUCCCUACCACAGCUUAUCUCCCUCCCGACUUCCCGUCUUCUUAUGGUGCUUCUUUGCAAAGAAAGGCAGUGGGAAGUAGCUGCAAAUGAUGGAAUUCCUAUUCCUACUCUCUCAUUGCUCAGGCCAUCCCCUCGCCAACAAUGAGAACA